rnacentral:rRNA from 1 species
CCUACGGGAGGCAGCAGUGGGGAAUAUUGCACAAUGGGGGAAACCCUGAUGCAGCAACGUCGCGUGAGUGAAGACGUAUUUCGGUAUGUAAAGCUUUAUUAGCAGGGAAGAAAUUGACUGUACGUGACUAAGAAGCCCCGGCUAAUUACGUGCCAGCAGCCGCGGGAAUACGGAGGGGGCAAGCGUUAUCCGGAUUUACUGGGUGUAAAGGGGGCGUAGUCGGGUUCGCAAGUCAGGAGUGAAAGCCCGGGGCUCAACCGCGGGACUGCUUUUGAAACUGUGUAGCUAGAGUGCAGGAGAGGUAAGUGGAAUUCCUAGUGUAGCGGUGAAAUGCAUAGAUAUUAGGAAGAACACCGAUGGCGAAGGCAGCUUACUGGACUGUAACUGACGUUGAGGCUCGAAAGCGUGGGUAGCAAACAGGAUUAGAUACCCGAGUAGUC